rnacentral:rRNA from 1 species
GGACAACCUACCCUAUGGAGGGGGAUAACCCCGGGAAACUGGGGAUAAUACCCCAUAGACUAUGGAUGCUGGAAUGCUCUGUAGCCAAAAGGUCAGCCGCCAUAGGAUGGGUCUGCGGCCGAUUAGGUAGUUGUUGGGGUAACGGCCCAACAAGCCUGUAAUCGGUACGGGUUGUGGGAGCAAGAGCCCGGAGAUGGAUUCUGAGACACGAAUCCAGGCCCUACGGGGCGCAGCAGGCGCGAAAACUUUACAAUGCGGGAAACCGUGAUAAGGGAACUCCGAGUGCCCGUUAAAUCGGGCUGUCCAUCUGUGUAAAUAACAGGUGAAGAAAGGGCCGGGCAAGACCGGUGCCAGCCGCCGCGGUAAUACCGGCGGCUCGAGUGGUGGCCACUAUUACUGGGCUUAAAGCGUUCGUAGCUGGUUUGUUAAGUCUCUGGGGAAAUCUUCCGGCUUAACCGGAAGGCGUCUCAGGGAUACUGGCAGACUAGGGACCGGAAGAGGUGAGGGGUACUCCAGGGGUAGGAGUGAAAUCCUGUAAUCCUUGGGGGACCACCUGUGGCGAAGGCGCCUCACCAGAACGGCUCCGACAGUGAGGGACGAAAGCUGGGGGAGCAAACCGGAUUAGAUACCCGGGUAGUCCCAGCCGUAAACGAUGUGCGUUAGGUGUAUCGGUGACCACGAGUCACCGAGGUGCCGAAGAGAAAUCGUGAAACGUACCGCCUGGGAAGUACGGUCGCAAGGCUGAAACU